rnacentral:rRNA from 1 species
GGAGCUUGCUCCUGUUUGGUUAGCGGCGGACGGGUGAGUAACACGUGGGCAACCUGCCUGUAAGACUGGGAUAACUUCGGGAAACCGGAGCUAAUACCGGAUAAUUUCUUCCCUNGCAUGAGGGAAGAUUGAAAGUCGGUUUCGGCUGACACUUACAGAUGGGCCCGCGGCGCAUUAGCUAGUUGGUGAGGUAACGGCUCACCAAGGCGACGAUGCGUAGCCGACCUGAGAGGGUGAUCGGCCACACUGGGACUGAGACACGGCCCAGACUCCUACGGGAGGCAGCAGUGGUCUGCUUUUUUUUUCC